CAUGCAGGCGGUUAGACAAGUCAGAUGUGAAAUCCCCGCGCUUAACGUGGGCAUUGCAUUUGAAACUAUGUAGCUAGAGUUCUGUAGAGGGGGGUAGAAUUCCAGGUGUAGCGGUGAAAUGCGUAGAGAUUGGGAGGAACACCAGUGGCGAAGGCGACUUACUGGGCCGUAACUGACGCUGAGGCGCGAAAGCGUGGGGAGCGAACAGGAUUAGAUACCCCAGUA
rnacentral:rRNA from 1 species